rnacentral:rRNA from 1 species
AGGAUUCCCGUAGUAACUGCGAGUGAAUUGGGAAAGCAUUUAGCCCGAGUCCCCUCGAGACGCGCUUCGCGGCGCGGCCGUAAGGAGUCGAGGACGGAGAUGCGGGUUUGACGGCGAGGCGUCGCCGACGCGUCGCGCUCGACUUCAAGUCCAUCUUGGAGGGGGCCCGCAGCCCGGAGACGGUGUGAGGCCAGUCGAAGUCGGGCGACGCGUUCGCUCGCCUCUGCCGCUCGAGUCGAGUUGCUUGAGAUCGCAGUUUGAAUUAGGUGGUAUGGUUCAUCUCAUUCCGAAUAUAACACGAGACCGAUAGUCGACAAGUACCGUGAGGGAAAGUUGAAAAGAACUUUGUAAAGAGAGUUAAAGAGUUAGUGAGACCACUGGGGAGUAAACCUGAGCUAGUCGACGAGUACGCUCCGGCCGCAUCAGCGUCGCGCCGUCUCGGAGGAGGAGUGUGUCGCUUCGGCGACCCUUCGCCGUCCGUCGGCGCGGCGCGCACUGCGACCGCCGGAGCCCUCCGCGCCGCCUCUCGGGGCGACGCGGAGUGAUGUCGGGCUCGCUAGCGGGGCGACGUUCACCGCGCCGGUCGCGUUAGAUUCGCGAUCGCGCGCGCGCGUCCGGCCCCGUGCGAGCGAAUCGCACGGCGCGUCGAAAGACGACCGCGUACCGACGGUACCGCCACAACGGUACCUAGACGAACUCGGGANNNNNNNNNNNNNNNNNNNNNNNNNNNNNGACAAGGCGGCGAGCCUACGGCAACUAAAUCGCUGCGGGCGCAGCGAAGGCGCGUGCGCGGCACGCGACGCGGCGUUUCGGCGCCCGUCGCUGUCGCGCCGGUGCGAGGCGAUGGCGGCGACGGUCGGUCCGCCGGCCCCGGUCGGCGUCCGUACCGUUCGGCCGCUCGCAGCCUCGAGACGAUCUUGUAUCGCAUUCAAGUCGUACUCGUAGCCGCCGUGUCGGGACCCGAAAGGCGGUGAACUAUACCCGGCGAGGGUGAAGUUAGGGGAAACCCUGAUGCAGGCCCGUCGCGUUUCUAACGUGCAAAUUGAUCGUCUGAGCCGGGUAUAGGGGCGAAAGACCAAUCGAACCGUCUAGUAGCUGGUUCCUUUCGAAGUUUCCCUCAGGAUAGCUGAAACGAGAUUCACCUUUACAGUGAAUUAGUCGCGUGAGGUAAAGCGAAUGAUUAGAGGCAUUGGGGCUGAAACGGUCUUAACCUAUUCUCAAACUUUCAAUAUGCGCUGUCGGGCGGCUUGCAAUACUGAAGCCGUCAGCGGAUAGAG